rnacentral:lncRNA from 1 species
GAGUUCAAUUAGAAGUCCCAUUCCUUACAGAGAAGGAAAAUUAGCAAAGAGCUCGAAGAAGUUAAUAAUGGAGGUGGAAUCGAGCGGUAUCACAUUUAAUGCUUUGCAAUUGAGAGACACUGGUUGAACUUGGAUUUGUGCAAAGAGGUCCAUUACAGAAAACAAUUCAUGUUACAUGUCAAUUUGUAAACUUGAGGUUUGCCCCCAUGAAACUAUAUAUCUCUUUGAAGAUUAGAGUAUGAACUCUUCUUGUCCUUUAAUGUUCAGGUAAUAUAACCAAGUUAGUAUUUUCUUUUAUAUCUUUGGCAUAUUGCUUCAUAUAUGUAAUUCAUUUUAUCAACUUGCAGAAACAAGCACACUAGUUUCUUUAUUAUCUGCUUCAAGAUUGAACAGACAAGUAACGGAAUUAAAAAAAAAGAUAUAGUAGAGAAGUGUGCUAUGAUAGAGAAAAAUAAAGAAAAUACAAGUUAUACAUUGGAACGAACGAGAUUUCAAUUGUCGUCACAAAACCCGUCAUAAUUUGUUUCCUCAUGAUAUGGAUUUAUUGUAUUGCUUUUGGAUAAUUUGGUUCUUUAUAAUAUACAUGUGGAUAUUCAUAUUUGAUUGUAUAUUUAUCUUUUGUGUAAUAUGUAUCUAUCUAUAGAGAUUUGAGUACAUUGUCUAUAAGAAACAAUUAGAUAAUAAUUUAUAUAUUGAAAAGUUCUAGAAAAAAAAAAGGCCUUAGCUUAGCUAAAUAUGCAGUGGCGGACCCAGGAAUUUUUCCAUGGGGGUGCGGAAUAUUUUUAAAAAUUUUAGACCCCAAGGUAUAUAAAUAAAAAAUCAGUUCGUAUCGGGUCGGUUCGGGUUAUGUAAAACAAAAGAACUUAAUUUAUAUAACCCACCAUAACAUAAUGAAAACAAAACGAAGCACAUGUCUACUAUGGUUAGUAUGCGGCUAUAAUAGGCCGCUGGAGGUGGAUAACCAAAAACCAACCAAAAAUCAUCAAAAAUAACAAAGAAACUUACCCGUGGCUGAUUACGGUGGUAUGCGGCUGCUGACUGUUCACUGUUGUCGCUGUUGAUGUUCUGAUCGCUGGCGUGCAAGGACAAUAAAGAGAGCAGGAUAUAAUAUGUAAGGAUUUUGGGCUUGUUUAUUUUAUUUUAGUUUGAAAUAUUGUUGAUUUGUUGGGUUUGUUUAUUGGGCUAAGACUUAGUAGUGGGCUAGUUAAAUGUAUUGGGUAUUUGGGUUUAGUUAUUUAGGUAUUAAAAAAGUAAUAUAAUUUAGGUAGUAUUUUUUAUAAAAUAGGAGUUUACUAAAGAAUAUUUUUAAAAUAUAAAUUGAUAACAUUUUUUACCUAAGGGGUGCGGACGAAAAAGUCCAAGAGGUGCGGACGGAAAAUUCCAUGGGGUGCGGACGGAAAAUUCCAAAGGGUGCGGAUGAGAUUUUCGACGGAACUUAGCACUAAAUUUUUUUUUCCCGGGGGUGCGCCCGCCCACCCUGAACAUGGCAUAGGUCCGCCCUUGUAAAUAUGUAGCAAAAACUUUACACAACUCCCAGCAAACAUCUUCAAAAAUCUAUAGCUAACUUCUUACCAAAAAUCUUAUAUAGUUUGUAGCAAAAUCGAUAGCUAAAUUAGGUAGUAGAUUUGUAACAAAACAAUAGCUAAAUGUGUAGCAAAAAUUCGUAGCCAAAUUCGUAGCAAAAACUCCAUCGUAGCUAAAAAUUCGUAGCAGAAUUUGGUAGCUAAAAAUUUGUAGCAAAAUCCAUAGCGAGCAUUUUCGUAGCAGAAGGCGUAGCUAUAAUAGCGACGCUAUUAUUUGUAGCUAAAACCGUCGCAAAUAUGAUAUCCGUAGCUAAAUUUGGUAGCAAAGGAAUUUGCGACGAGACUUGUAGCUACGGGGCCAAAUCCGUAGCAACUCCGUAGCUAAAUGGGUGUUUGCUACGAAUUAGCUACGAAUUUUGCUGUAGCAAAUGCCUGUUUUUGUAGUAGUGAUUUGUAACUACCACGUAGGGCUGUAAACGAACCGAACGAACACGAACAAGGCCUUCUUCGUGUUCGUUCGUUAAGGAAAUAAAUGUGUUCACGAACGGUUCAUAAACACUUACCGAACGAGAUUUUAUGUUCGUGUUCGUUCAUUAAGGAAAUGAGCGUGUUCGCGAACGGUUCACGAACACAAAUAAAUUUGGCGAACACGACGAAGGAUAAAGAUAGAAGGCCCUGAGAGUAGCACUCGAACUUGAAUCCGUUAUUGUGGAACGAUAUCAAUCGUAUUCGCCGAUGUGAAUAAUGAGAAAUGAAAGGGAAAUAAUGCAUAAACAAGGUGAAAGUGAGUUUCCUAGUUUAAUAGUUAGGUAAUAAAAUAAAUAAAAGU